GGGUUAAGACUUUUCAUACAAGUUGAACUCAAGUGUUUUUGGUCUCUUUCUCCUGCCCUGUUGCACAAAAACCUCCGCCUUACAAUCAUCCCACUAACAUUUUUUACCACAAGAUCUUUCCUAACAAUGAAACCAUUGCAUUUUGCAUACUUUACAUAGAAACCAUAAGCUUCUUUUCACUACCAAAAUCAAGAUCCACUGUCAUGGUAUUAAUCCUAACAAACC
rnacentral:lncRNA from 1 species